rnacentral:rRNA from 1 species
AGUAACACGUAUGCAACCUGCCUGCCACAGCCGGAUAAUCGGGAGAAAUUCCGUCUAAUACGGCAUAAUGCAUCGACGGGACAUCCUGUUGGUGCCAAAGGUUGAUUCCGGUGGCGGAUGGGCAUGCGUCGCAUUAGUUAGUUGGCGGUGUAACGGACCACCAAGACGACGAUGCGUAGGGGUUCUGAGAGGAAGGUCCCCCACACUGGCACUGAGACACGGACCAGACUCCUACGGAAGGCAGCAG